AGCCGAAACGCACAGGUGCGUCUCUCAGGGAUAGCCUCUUGAGACUGAUGAUGGCAGGCUGUG
rnacentral:hammerhead_ribozyme from 1 species